CCUGCCGGACCUGACUGCUAUCGGAUUGAUACUAAGCCAUGCGAGUCUUUGUAGUAAUACAAGGCAGACGGCUCAGUAACACGUAGUCAACCUACCCUAUGGACGAGAAUAAUCUCGGGAAACUGAGCAUAAUUCUUGAUAGAUCAUAAUGCCUGGAAUGGUUUAUGGUUAAAAUGAUUCGUCGCCAUAGGAUGGGACUGCGGCCUAUCAGCUUGUUGGUGAGGUAAUGGCCCACCAAGGCGAUUACAGGUACGGGCUCUGAGAGGAGAAGCCCGGAGAUGGGUACUGAGACACGGACCCAGGCCCUAUGGGGCGCAGCAGGCGAGAAAACUUUGCAAUGUGCGAAAGCACGGCAAGGUUAAUCCGAGUGAUUUCUGCUAAAGAAAUCUUUUGCCAGUCGUAAAACCGCUGGUGAAUAAGGGGUGGGCAAGUUCUGGUGUCAGCCGCCGCGGUAAAACCAGCACCUCAAGUGGUCAGGAUGAUUAUUGGGCCUAAAGCAUCCGUAGCCGGCUUUGUAAGUUUUCGGUUAAAUCCAUGUGCUCAACGCAUGGGCUGCCGAAAAUACUGCAUAGCUAGGGAGUGGGAGAGGUAGACGGUACUCAGUAGGUAGGGGUAAAAUCCUUUGAUCUAUUGAUGACCACCUGUGGCGAAGGCGGUCUACCAGAACACGUUCGACGGUGAGGGAUGAAAGCUGGGGGAGCAAACCGGAUUAGAUACCCGGGUAGUCCCAGCUGUAAACGAUGCAGACUAGAUGAUGCAUUGGCAUAAUAGCCAUUGCAGUGUCUCAGGGAAGCCGUUAAGUCUGCCGCCUGGGAAGUACGUACGCAAGUAUGAAACUUAAAGGAAUU
rnacentral:rRNA from 1 species